rnacentral:lncRNA from 1 species
CCGCCCUGCAGGGCAGCCCGGGGACCUGCCCCCGGCGCCACGCCCGGCGCCCCGGGGAGGCCCAGCCCGCAGGCCCCGCCGACUGGGCGCCGCGCCCUGGGAACGUGCACCGGGGCAGGCAGCCCGGCCUCACCUGGCCCCAGCGCGGAGCCGGAUCACACCUGCCUGCUGGCUUACACAGAUUCAACUAUCAAUUAUCCCAGAGGAGAGGCGUGCAGUGCAGGGCGUUGGGCCACGAAACUGAAAGCUGCUGGCGAGGCGCGUGGGGGAGGUCGAUUUCUGCGUCCUGCUGCCUCCACGCACAGUGAGAACCCACCCCGCCACUGCGUUCCUGUCCUCACAGGCACAUCAUUGCUUCAACUGAUUCAUGAGCAGAAGAGUCUUUGCUGGCAACACAUGAACUGUGAUGGAUUCAAUCACUUAGGCUUUCCAUUAUCAAUGCAGACCUGGCCCCUGGGUGCACAGGGUUAUCAGUGACCACCCCUGAAUGCCGCAACUGACCAGACUCCAGGGACACCAUGGACUACUUAGUUGCAGACUGAUGACUUUGGACCUCUUCCAUUAUGGAAAGGGCAGUGAUUUCUUUUCACUGAAACAGGCUCAUGUCUGACUUUGGAACUGACCUCUCUGCCUGUAGAUCAUCAUGGCAUGCUCUACAAAAUUGCUUCUGACAACGGAAUUCACUUUACAGUGAAAGAGGGAAAGCAGUGGGUGAUACCCUUGUCAAUGGAUCCUGUCACCCAGAAGCAGUCAUCUGUAUUCAGCUGUGACAUGAUUUAUUGAAGAUUUCAUUUCAGGACUGAGAGACGAUCAUACCUAAGGAGAUUGAAAUAUCGUCCUUUAAGAUGCUUGUUUGUUCUGAACUAGGGAACAUCACGUGGUGCCGUUUCUCCCACAGCCAGACUAAACAGGUCUGGAGGAAGGGGAAGUAGGCACGGUGCAACUUCCAUCUUACUUAAUGACUCUCACUCUCUUCAACUUUUUUUCCACCAAUUAGCGAUUUUAUUCCCAGGAAAGGAAGGUUGCACCAUUGAGGCAGCUGACCGUUGGGGUGGCUCCCUUUGGAAAGGGGAUAUAAAGUGUUUGUAUGAGUGAUGGUUCCAUUAAAGCAGACAUUUUUUAAAAAGGUGAAAUUUGGGGAAUUAGAGUGAAUAUAGAUGUUGAACAGAAAAAGAGUGAUAUAGCAAUAGUCUGGACAUGUGGGCUGGCCACCUGGAAUUUCACAUGCCAUUAGGUCAAAAAAGUGGGUUGACAAGGCUGGCUGCAGUGACUAGUCCUGGGAAAAUGCUGCUAUACCACGGGAGACAGGCCAGGGUGGAGGCUAUGAAUGAAACUCAAGUGGUUCUCUCAGGAGCCGCCUCCUCCUCCUCCUCCAGCGGUGGGAGUUAAGGGAAGACUGUUACCAUCAUGCAUAUGGGCAGGGCCUCCUUGGUCUCUGUGCCCUUAGGAAAGAGGAAUAGGGUCACGGCUAGUAGGUCACACCCCAGUCAUCUAAGGUACUGGCUGAAGACAGCAUGGACUUGGAAUGGAAACUGGAAGCGGGAAACCUAAACAUCAUCCAGGGUCUCUUCUCUAGGGCAGGAAAUGGGUGCUGUAGCUUCUACUUGUACUUCCUGUGUUGUGUGUAUCCUAUUUUAACUCAUUGCCUCUCUUUCCUCUCCCGUUAUUCGUUUUAUUGUAUAUGGGAUGAACGGUUAUGGUUAACUUUACACUUCAGCUCAAAGAUACAGAAUAAUGAGAUGGGCUUGUUAUCCCACGGAGGUGGGGUAUCCAUUACUCACAGACCUUGAGUACAGGAGUUGAAAGACAUUGGGGUAACCCCGUUGGAAAGGGAAUGAAAGAAGUUUUGAUUGUAUGAGGAAUAGCUACAUAUUUUAAGCAAGAGUUUUUUCUUUAAGUAAAACUAGAGGAAUUAGAGUAUAUGUUGAUAUUGAACAGCAAAAGAGUAAGGCUGUAAUGAACUUAAUAGACCCUUUUUUUUUUUUCUAUUUUGGCUCUGCACCAUAUGAACUCAUUCCCAAAUUUGGAAAAUCCACUAUUUUGCGAGUCUUGGGAAGGGGCAAGAUCAGCUAGUUCAUGGGCACAGGAUCUAAGCUCUGGCAGCUGGAUGUUCUGAUCUAGAACUUCGAAUGUGGAGCCAGG